AUUAGAGUUUGAUCAUGGCUCAGAACGAACGCUGGUAGCGUGGAUUAGGCAUGCAAGUCGAACGGGAUCCGGAAGGCAGCAAUGUCGGCCGGUGAGAGUGGCGGAAGGGCGAGGAACACGUGGGCAACCUGCCCGGAGGACGGGGAAAACCGCUGGAAACGGCGGCUAAUACCCGAUGCGGCGCGAAGGGGACAUCCCCGUUGCGCCAAAGGGGGCCGCAAGGCUCCCGUCUCCGGAGGGGCCCGCGCACCAUCGGCUAGUCGGCGGGGUAACGGCCCACCGAGGCUUACGGUUAGCUGGUCUGAGAGGAUGGCCAGCCGCACUGGGACUGAGACACUGCCCAGACUCCUACGGGAGGCUGCAGUCGAGGAUCAUUCGCAAUGGGGGAAACCCUGACGAUGCGACGCUGCGUGGAGGACGACGGCCUUCGGGUUGUAAACUCCUGUCAUGCGGGAAAAGGAGAGGUCGCCGAACAGGCGUCCGAUUUGAUGGUACCGCAAGAGGAAGCGACGGCUAACUCUGUGCCAGCAGCCGCGGUAAUACAGAGGUCGCAAGCGUUGUUCGGAUUUACUGGGCGUAAAGGGCGCGUAGGCGGCGCGGCGUGUCGGAUGUGAAAGCCACGGGCUCAACCCGUGAAGUGCGUCCGAAACUGCCGCGCUAGAGUGCGGAAGAGGAGACUGGAAUGCAGGGUGUAGCGGUGAAAUGCGUUGAUAUCCUGCAGAACCACCGGUGGCGAAGGCGGGUCUCUGGUACGCAACUGACGCUCAGGCGCGAAAGUCGGGGGAGCAAACAGGAUUAGAUACCCUGGUAGUCCCGACCUUAAACGGUGCACACUCGGGGUGGGGGGAUUCCAACCCCUCCGUCCCCAAGCAAACGCGUUAAGUGUGCCGCCUGGGGAGUACGGCCGCAAGGCUAAAACUCAAAGAAAUUGACGGGGGCCCGCACAAGCAGAGGAGCAUGUGGCUUAAUUCGAUGCAACGCGAAGAACCUUACCUGGGCUUGACAUGCGGCUGCACGGGGCGUGAAAGCGCCCCUCCUUCGAGGGUGCCGCACAGGUGCUGCAUGGCUGUCGUCAGUUCGUGCCGUGAGGUGUUUGGUUAAGUCCACCAACGAACGAAU
rnacentral:rRNA from 1 species